rnacentral:lncRNA from 1 species
CUUGAAGAUUGUAAAGAUACUGUCAUCACUCAGAGCUGUGCAGGAAGGAAAGUUAGUGCAUGCAUUUGUCAGAGCUCAGCUGAGGUUGAAUGAAGUGAGACAGAGCAUGCCUGUAUUUUGCUGUAUGCAGCCUCCAAGUCCUGAUGUAGCCUUUAAAUACAAGCCUUGCUUUAACUUUUUGUCUAGAGUUCCUGCCUGUGCAGGAAGGGAUUGGCUGCAGCCAGCCAAUGUGCCCAGGCAAUGCUCUGGUCAUGAAAAGAGCUGAUAAUUCAUUGAAUCCAUGUCUGCUGGGAUGCCCAGGACUGGAUUUCUGCCUUGCAUCCAGCUCAGACCCUCUAACUCUGCAAGUGUUCCCAGGCUUUGGAAGAAUGAAUGACUGCUGGAGUGAGUUACAGCCCAUGUGGAUCCUAGAAAACACACUCCUACCACAGGCUACUCCAAGGAUUCCCAAGCUCAGCCCCAGCCAGGCUCCACCCAGACACCAGCAAAAGAAACCUGAUGUAAACAGAAGAUGGUUUUCAUCAGUUGUCUGCAGAGACAAAGAGCAAAUCUUCCAUGCCAACAUGGAAAAAUUUAUUAGCAAGUAUGAGCUGGGGCAAAAAAAUGAAGCCAAGAAUGUUACUAAGAAGCGUUGGAAGCAACUGAAGAGGAGGAUAAGAAAAGUAAAUAUUGAAUUCUUACACAAGGUCUUGAAGGUUGAAAAUGGUCUGAGAUUGAUGCCAGCAAUCAUCAACAGCAAGUUAAACCACUAG